GGAAACAAAACAAAAAGAGGCUUUCAAAUAUUUUUCUCUGAUACUUGAAACCGUGUUUCUCUAUUGUCUGUUCGCAGGAAACAGACAAGCCCUCUAGUGGUUAGCCAGGGAGCUUAGCCACAAUGGAAGGCUCGCUGGAUAGCUUUUGAUAGCAUCCUCAUUGCAUCCACACCCAUGGACAGGUGUGUGUGCAGGAAUUCUCUGCCUGAACACAGUUCUCACCAGCUGCAUCCUCACUGCUACCUAAAAUAGAUCUUAAAGAGGUUUUGAAUUGGCAGCCCAGAAUAAACUCGCUUUCCCUGGAAGCCAGACAGGAACCUGCACACAGGCUGUAUUUAUCAGUCGACGACGAGCCUUUAACAAACACGCAGCGGGUGAAAAUAAAACACAUGUUUUCCCUUA